rnacentral:rRNA from 1 species
AUGGAGGCUCUGCGCAAUCGACUGGCAAGGUGGAUCCCCAAGCCUCUGGAUGGACUAAGAGUGAAUGGUCAGUUUGAUAAAAUCAUUAUUUGGGGACUUCUUGCUGACGGCGGAGAGAGCUGCGGCUCUGAGGCCUUCUGUUGGUGGCCGUGCAUCGAGCAUGACCAAGCUAGCAAUGUUGCCAAGAGAAAGAAGAUGGCUACAUCCAUUAGCUGCUCAAGCUCCGGUGUCCUCACGUCAGGCUUGGCUUUGAGUGCUGACAGCAAAGCAUUCUACAUGGUAUGCACCCAGUUGAUGGUGUCUUCAGCCAAAUUGCUGAUCUAUCCGAUGAGAACGGGGAAGCUGCAGCCGACUCCAGAGAGGACGAUGACCACAACAUAG